GACAGAGGGUGCAAGCGUUGUUCGGAAUUACUGGGCGUAAAGCGCGUGUAGGCGGCUAAGUAAGUCGGGCGUGAAAUCCCACGGCUCAACCGUGGAAGUGCACUCGAAACUGCAUAGCUAGAGUCCUGGAGAGGAAGGUGGAAUGCUUGGUGUAGAGGUGAAAUUCGUAGAUAUCAAGCGGAACACCGGUGGCGAAGGCGGCCUUCUGGACAGUGACUGACGCUGAGACGCGAAAGCGUGGGGAGCAAACAGG
rnacentral:rRNA from 1 species